ACACAUGCAAGUCGAACGGCAGCACGGGAGUAAUCCUGGUGGCGAGUGGCGAACGGGUGAGUAAUAUAUCGGAACGUGCCCAGUCGUGGGGGAUAACGUAGAGAAAUUUACGCUAAUACCGCAUACGAUCUAAGGAUGAAAGCGGGGGACCGUAAGGCCUCGCGCGAUUGGAGCGGCUGAUAUCAGAUUAGGUUGUUGGUGAGGUAAAAGCUCACCAAGCCGACGAUCUGUAGCUGGUUUGAGAGAACGACCAGCCACACUGGGACUGAGACACGGCCCAGACUCCUACGGGAGGCAGCAGUGGGGAAUUUUGGACAAUGGGCGAAAGCCUGAUCCAGCAAUGCCGCGUGCAGGAAGAAGGCCUUCGGGUUGUAAACUGCUUUUGUACGGAACGAAAAAGCCUUUUCUAAUAAAGAGGGCUCAUGACGGUACCGUAAGAAUAAGCACCGGCUAACUACGUGCCAGCAGCCGCGGUAAUACGUAGGGUGCGAGCGUUAAUCGGAAUUACUGGGCGUAAAGCGUGCGCAGGCGGUUCUAUAAGACAGAUGUGAAAUCCCCGGGCUCAACCUGGGAAUGGCAUUUGUGACUGUAGAGCUAGAGUACGGUAGAGGGGAUGGAAUUCCGCGUGUAGCAGUGAAAUGCGUAGAUAUGCGGAGGAACACCGAUGGCGAAGGCAAUCCCCUGGACCUGUACUGACGCUCAUGCACGAAAGCGUGGGGAGCAAACAGGAUUAGAUACCCUGGUAGUCACGCCUAAACGAUGUCACUGGUUGUUGGGUGCAUUAGUACUCAGUAACGAAGCUAACGCGUGAGUGACGCUGGGGAGUACGCGCAGUGGACUCAGAUGACGGACCGCAAGCGUGGAUGAUGGUAUCGAUGCACCGAAACUACUACUUGACUUGUACGGAUCCCC
rnacentral:rRNA from 1 species